UACGUAGGGGGCAAGCGUUGUCCGGAAUUAUUGGGCGUAAAGCGCGCGCAGGCGGUUUUUUAAGUCUGGUGUAUAAACCUUGGGCUCAACUUAAGGAGGCACUGGAAACUGGGAGGCUUGAGUGUAGGAGAGGAAAGUGGAAUUCCACGUGUAGCGGUGAAAUGCGUAGAGAUGUGGAGGAACACCAGUGGCGAAGGCGGCUACCUGGCCCAAUACCGACACUCAGGUGCGAUAGCGUGGGGAGCAAACAGG
rnacentral:rRNA from 1 species